GGCCAGACUCCUACGGGAGGCAGCAGUGGGGAAUCUUCCGCAAUGGGCGAAAGCCUGACGGAGCAACGCCGCGUGAUCGAAUGAAGGCCUUCGGGUUGUAAAGAUCUGUUGACAGGGACGAAUAAGCAAUGCGAAUAGUUUUGUGUAUGACGGUACCUGUUUAGAAAGCUCCGGCUAACUACGUGCCAGCAGCCGCGGUAAUACGUAGGGAGCAAGCGUUGUCCGGAAUUACUGGGCGUAAAGGGCGCGUAGGUGGGCGCUUAAGUCAGGUGUGAAAACUCCGGGCUCAACCUGGAGACUGCACUUGAAACUGGGUGUCUUGAGGGCAGGAGAGGAAAGUGGAAUUCCUAGUGUAGCGGUGAAAUGCGUAGAUAUUACACAGAACACCGAUUGCGAAGGCAGCUUGCUAGGCCGGAUCUGACACUGAUGCACGAAAGCGUGGGGAUCGAACAGGAUUAGAUACCCGCGUAC
rnacentral:rRNA from 1 species